GUAAGGCACAUCACCACUGGACUCACACACACUUCUCUGUUUGGCACAUUGGGUUGGGAAUGUUACUUGCCUGACUGCAUUGUGCCAAUUAUAAAGUUUGUUGGAGGAGAGAUAAUGAUAUGGGGCUGAAAAUCAGGACUGUUCCUCCGAAAUAGAGAUUGUUGGGAGGGCUAAAUAGUGAUGACUAGACGACUGGGUCAGAGCUUCUGCAAAAGGGCAAGUCUUGUGGGG